GACGAACGCUGGCGGCGUGCUUAACACAUGCAAGUCGAACGGGAUUUACUAAACUGAUACCUCAGUGGUAGAUUACUCGUGAGAAUGUCCCCUUGGUGUCUAACUCAUUCGCCACCUGCCUAUCUCAUUGCGGUAGCUUCCUUCAACCGGAAUUAUUACCGCCUUAGAUUGUAGCCACGUUUGUUUUAACGGUUAAAGAUUUAUCGGUCUUCGAUGGGCUCGCGUCUGAUUAGCUAGUUGGUGAGGUAACAGCCCACCAAGGCGACGAUCAGUAGCCGGUCUGAGAGGAUGAACGGCCACAUUGGAACUGAGACACGGUCCAGACUCCUACGGGAGGCAGCAGUGGGGAAUAUUGCACAAUGGGGGAAAGCCUGAUGCAGCGACGCCGCGUGAACGAAGAAGGUAUUCGUAUCGUAAAGUUCUGUUAUAUGGGAAGAUAAUGACAGUACCAGAGGAGAAAGCUCCGGCUAAAUACGUG
rnacentral:rRNA from 1 species